UACGGAGGGUGCGAGCGUUGUCCGGAAUCACUGGGCGUAAAGGGCGCGUAGGCGGCGAGGAUAGUCAACGGUGAAAGCUUGGGGCUCAACCCCGAGUCGGCCGUCGAUACUUCCUUGCUUGAGCACUGUAGAGGCAGAUGGAAUUCCGGGUGUAGCGGUGGAAUGCGUAGAGAUCCGGAAGAACACCGGUGGCGAAGGCGGCCUGCUGGGCAGUGGCUGACGCUGAGGCGCGACAGCGUGGGGAGCAAACAGG
rnacentral:rRNA from 1 species